GACGUAGGAGGCGAGCGUUGUCCGGAGUUACUGGGCGUAAAGCGCGCGCAGGCGGUCACGCAGGUCAUCUGUGAAAGCACUCGGCUCAACCGGGAUGUUGCGGGUGAAACCGCGUGACUUGAGGGUGGGAGAGGUCGGUGGAAUUCCCGGUGUAGUGGUGAAAUGCGUAGAGAUCGGGAGGAACACCCGUAGCGAAGACGGCCGACUAGACCACACCUGACGCUGAGGCGCGAAGGCCAGGGGAGCGAACGGG
rnacentral:rRNA from 1 species